rnacentral:rRNA from 1 species
UGGGGAAUAUUGCACAAUGGGCGCAAGCCUGAUGCAGCCAUGCCGCGUGUAUGAAGAAGGCCUUCGGGUUGUAAAGUACUUUCAGCGGGGAGGAAGGGAGUAAAGUUAAUACCUUUGCUCAUUGACGUUACCCGCAGAAGAAGCACCGGCUAACUCCGUGCCAGCAGCCGCGGUAAUACGGAGGGUGCAAGCGUUAAUCGGAAUUACUGGGCGUAAAGCGCACGCAGGCGGUCUGUCAAGUCGGAUGUGAACUCCCCGGGCUCAACCUGGGAACUGCAUUCAAAACUGGCAGGCUAGAGUCUUGUAGAGGGAGGUAGAAUUCCAGGGGUAGCGGGAAAAUGCGUAGAAAUCUGAGGGAAUACCGGUGGCGAAGGCGGCCCCCUGGACAAAGACUGACGCUCAGGUGCGAAAGCGUGGGAAGCAAACGGG